CCGGUUCCCGGUCUUGUACACACCGCCGUCACAACCAGUGGGAGCGGGUUUUACCAGAAGUAGGUAGCUUAACCGCAAGGAGGGCGCUUACCGCGGUAGGAUUCGUGACUGGGGUG
rnacentral:rRNA from 1 species